rnacentral:hammerhead_ribozyme from 1 species
UGCUGAUGAGUCCCAAACAGGACGAAAUAGCUGUCCA